rnacentral:lncRNA from 1 species
CAGAUAUCUAGUUUUCUCCAAUGAUUAGUAUCCAGUGUUUAUUAUAAAAACUGCCAUAAUUGAAUACCACUACAAUUAUAUUCUGCCAUACGUUAGUAAAAUCAACAAAGUUAAAACAAUUUAUACAUUUUUGAAAAUCAAUCAUUAUACAUUCCUGUAAGUAUAGAUGGUUUUGCAGCAAGGGAGUAGAAUCGGAUAUUAUCUAAAGACAUAAUGUGGAGUUGUUUAUUUCUUGAAUAUUACCUCUGUCACCCUGUUUUUGGGCAAUUUCCUUUUGUCCAGAAGAAGAAUAGAGAAUUACUGUGGCAUGGCCUGUAGAGCAUCAUAUGGCUCCUUGUCUGGAAAAUUAGUUAUUAGAUCAAGAACUAGGCCGUCUCCUUCUAAAGUAUUUGCCUUUGAAACAGUCUUGUUCAUCGUCCACAUCUCAUUGUAAUCAGUCUGUAGAUAGCAGUGUCCACUGCAUCCUCUGGUUUCAACAGCCAUUCUCUGGACAUUAAUUGAGUUCCUGCACUAGGCCUUCUUCUUGGAGAACAUGAAGAUGAAUGAGCAGAGUUACCUCCCUUAAGGAACCCACAAUCUGGGGAAGGUAGAGAAGCAAAGUGAUGAUUAUAGCAUGUACAGAAGGUCCUCUGGAGGCUGAAGGAAGAGACACCUCUCUCUACUUUGGUGCUUCAUAGAGGGAAUACUUGAACUGAGUCUUGCAGGGUGGCCAGGGGUCACUAGGGGAAGGAGAAGAGGUACAGAAUAGCGUGGCCAACAUGGGUGAAGUGUAAUGAGUUUGGGAUAGGUAGAGGGCAUGGGAUUGAGAUGGAUAGCCAUAGGAAAUGGGGAUUCCCUGGGCCACUAAUGAAGAUUCAUAUUGUCAUACCAGAGAACAUGGUUUUAGAAAGAUGACUAGCUGGAGUUGAAAGAAAUAGAUUGGGGAGACAGAGCCAAAUAAAGAACUUUAUACAAUAAUCCAAGUAGGAAAUUCUGGGGGCUCAAGUUAGGAUAGCAGCCUUGAGGCUGAAGAGGAGGACACAGAGUCAAGGUAGUUUAGAG